AGUGAACGCUGGCGGUAGGCCUAACACAUGCAAGUCGAACGGCAGCGCAGUAAGAGCUUGCUCUUACGGGUGGCGAGUGGCGGACGGGUGAGGAAUACAUCGGAAUCUACUUUUUCGUGGGGGAUAACGUAGGGAAACUUACGCUAAUACCGCAUACGACCUACGGGUGAAAGCAGGGGAUCUUCGGACCUUGCGCGAUUGAAUGAGCCGAUGUCGGAUUAGCUAGUUGGCGGGGUAAAGGCCCACCAAGGCGACGAUCCGUAGCUGGUCUGAGAGGAUGAUCAGCCACACUGGAACUGAGACACGGUCCAGACUCCUACGGGAGGCAGCAGUGGGGAAUAUUGGACAAUGGGCGCAAGCCUGAUCCAGCCAUACCGCGUGGGCGAAGAAGGCCUUCGGGUUGUAAAGCCCUUUUGUUGGGAAAGAAAAGCAGCAGGUUAAUACCCCGCUGUUCUGACGGUACCCAAAGAAUAAGCACCGGCUAACUUCGUG
rnacentral:rRNA from 1 species